GCUGCUUUAAUAAUCACACACCUUUAUGCGGUGAUUAGCAAGCAACGAUCUUAUGAUUGGUUAAGAUGUGAAA
rnacentral:ribozyme from 20 species